AUGUGACUUGCACUCGCUCGACUUGAAACCAGAAGCGAGGUUCAGGGUUUGGGGAACAAGACGAAGAAGGAGAGGAAGAAGCGGCAACUGAUGAGACAGAAAACAUUUGUUGAGAACUUACUUUUCUCUUAGAGUGGUGUUGAGAAUUAGAAUUAAGCUUCGAUCAGGCGUCUUGAGAUCUGCCGGUCGGUCCCCUCUAGGACUGUGCUGUUUGGUCGUGGCAGGAACACACCCUAACUCCUGGAUAUGGCAGGUCUCCGUGGUGUCACGAUCCUGCUGCUCUGGGCUGGAAUCAUUGGUUUGGACAAAUUGAUUCAAGGUUACAGGCCCUAUACAACAGCCACUGCUCCCACCCCUCCGCCCCUGACCUCACCUGAAGUCAC